GGCGCGGCGCCCCAGGGGGAGCAAUGAGGGUGACGGUCUGCGUCCGGACGUCAGCCUCACUGAGCACACAGCCCCCUCGGUGGACCCAGCACAGUCGGACGAGACGGAAGCAGGUAACGAUUGAAGCUCGCCCAUACCCUGCGAUCCCCCGGUCCCCCACGCAACAUCCUCGGCGAUGUCGGACGCCAUCAGAGGUACGGCCCUGACCGACGGGAUGGCACGCCCGAUAAUGCCGAGCCCCCCCUAUAAACCCCCCCUAGCCAGGGGGAGAAGGGGGACUCUUCCUCCACUAAAAAACCGCCCCCCACUUCAUUCUCUAACGGGAUCGUCGGAGGGGUCGGGUCGAGCACCCCGACCCGACCUUUGUGCAGGUACCAAGCCGAGGCUCCCCGUCCGGAC
rnacentral:lncRNA from 1 species